rnacentral:rRNA from 1 species
UUUCCUACGGGAGGCAGCAGUGGGGAAUAUUGGGCAAUGGGCGAAAGCCUGACCCAGCAACGCCGCGUGAAGGAAGAAGGCUUUCGGGUUGUAAACUUCUUUUGACAGGGAAGAGCAGAAGACGGUACCUGUCGAAUAAGCCACGGCUAACUACGUGCCAGCAGCCGCGGUAAUACGUAGGUGGCAAGCGUUGUCCGGAUUUACUGGGGGUAAAGGGCGUGUAGCCGGGCGGACAAGGCAGAUGUGAAAUCCGGGGGCUCAACCCCAGAACUGCAUUUGAAACUGUUGGUCUUGAGUAUCGGAGG